rnacentral:rRNA from 1 species
CCUACGGGCGGCAGCAGUAGGGAAUUUUCGUCAAUGGGCGCAAGCCUGAACGAGCGAUGCCGCGUGCGUGAAGAAGGCCUUCUGGUCGUAAAGCUCUUUUGCGGGGGAAAAAAGGCAACAUCAGGAAAUGUGUGCUGACUGAUGGUGCGCCGACAGACAGUCACGGCUAACUACGUGCCAGCAGCCGCGGUAAUACGUAGGUGGCGAGCGUUGUCCGGAAUGAUUGGGCUUAAAGGGUGCGCAGGCGGUCCUGCAAGUCUGGAGUGAAACGCAUGAGCUCAACUCAGGAAUGGCCUUGGAAACUGGAGGACUGGAGAGCAGGAGAGGGCGGUGGAACGCCAUGUGUAGCGGUAAAAUGCGUAGAUAUAUGGAAGAACACCAGUGGCGAAGGCGGCCGCCUGGGCUGUUGCUGACGCUGAGGCACGAAAGCGUGGGGAGCAAAUAGGAUUAGAUACCCCAGUAGUC